CACGUAGGGCGCAAGCGUUGUCCGGAAUUAUUGGGCGUAAAGAGCUCGUAGGCGGUCUGUUACGUCCGCUGUGAAAACCCAGGGCUUAACCCUGGGCUUGCAGUGGAUACGGGCAGACUAGAGGCAGGUAGGGGAGAAUGGAAUUCCCGGUGUAGCGGUGAAAUGCGCAGAUAUCAGGAGGAACACCCGUGGCGAAAGCGGCUCUCUGGGACGGUACUGACGCUGAGACGCGAAAGCGUGGGGAGCAAACAGG
rnacentral:rRNA from 1 species